GUAGGGAAUAUUGGUCAAUGGGUGAGAGCCUGAACCAGCCAUGCCGCGUGCAGGAAGAAGGCCUUCUGGGUUGUAAACUGCUUUUGCCGGGGGAUAAAAGACCCUUGCGAGGGAAAUUGAAGGUACCUGGUGAAUAAGCCACGGCUAACUACGUGCCAGCAGCCGCGGUAAUACGUAGGUGGCAAGCGUUGUCCGGAUUUAUUGGGUUUAAAGGGUGCGUAGGCGGUUGAUUAAGUCAGUUGUGAAAUACGGCAGCUUAACUGUCGAGGUGCAAUUGAUACUGGUUGACUUGAGUACAGACGAGGUAGGCGGAAUUGACGGUGUAGCGGUGAAAUGCAUAGAUAUCGUCAAGAACACCGAUAGCGAAGGCAGCUUACUAGACUGUAACUGACGCUGAGGCACGAAAGUGUGGGGAUCAAACAGGAUUAGAAACCCGAGUAGUCC
rnacentral:rRNA from 1 species